GAUGAACGCUGGCGGCGUGCCUAAUACAUGCAAGUCGAGCGAACAGACGAGGAGCUUGCUCCUCUGACGUUAGCGGCGGACGGGUGAGUAACACGUGGAUAACCUACCUAUAAGACUGGGAUAACUUCGGGAAACCGGAGCUAAUACCGGAUAAUAUAUUGAACCGCAUGGUUCAAUAGUGAAAGACGGUUUUGCUGUCACUUAUAGAUGGAUCCGCGCCGCAUUAGCUAGUUGGUAAGGUAACGGCUUACCAAGGCAACGAUGCGUAGCCGACCUGAGAGGGUGAUCGGCCACACUGGAACUGAGACACGGUCCAGACUCCUACGGGAGGCAGCAGUAGGAAUCUUCCGCAAUGGGCGAAAGCUUGACGGAGCAACGCCGCGUGAGUGAUGAAGGUCUUCGGAUCGUAAAACUCUGUUAUUAGGGAAGAACAAAUGUGUAAGUAACUAUGCACGCCUUGACGGUACCUAAUCAGAAAGCCACGGCUAACUACGUG
rnacentral:rRNA from 1 species